GCAGCCGCGGUAACACCGGCGGCCCGAGUGGUGAUCGUGAUUAUUGGGUCUAAAGGGUCCGUAGCCGGUUUGGUCAGUCCUCCGGGAAAUCUGAUAGCUCAACUAUUAGGCUUUCGGGGGAUACUGCCAGACUUGGAACCGGGAGAGGUAAGAGGUACUACAGGGGUAGGAGUGAAAUCUUGUAAUCCCUGUGGGACCACCUGUGGCGAAGGCGUCUUACCAGAACGGGUUCGACGGUGAGGGACGAAAGCUGGGGGCACGAACCGGAUUAGAUACCCGGGUAGUCCCAGCCGUAACGAUGCUCGCUAGGUGUCAGGCAUGGCGCGACCGUGUCUGGUGCCGCAGGGAAGCCGUGAAGCGAGCCACCUGGGAAGUACGGCCGCAAGGCUGAAACUUAAAGGAAUUGGCGGGGGAGCACAACAACGGGUGGAGCCUGCGGUUUAAUUGGACUCAACGCCGGACAACUCACCGGGGGCGACAGCAAUAUGUAGGCCAAGCUGAAGACUUUGCCUGAAUCGCUGAGAAGAGGUGCAUGG
rnacentral:rRNA from 1 species